rnacentral:rRNA from 1 species
AUUGAACGCUGGCGGCAUGCUUUACACAUGCAAGUCGAACGGUAACAGGGUGCUUGCACCGCUGACGAGUGGCGAACGGGUGAGUAAUGCGUCGGAACGUGCCGAGUAGUGGGGGAUAACGCAGCGAAAGUUGUGCUAAUACCGCAUACGUACUGAGGUAGAAAGUGGGGGACCUUCGGGCCUCACGCUAUUCGAGCGGCCGACGUCUGAUUAGCUAGUAGGUGAGGUAAGAGCUCACCCAGGCGACGAUCAGUAGCGGGUCUGAGAGGAUGAUCCGCCAUACUGGGACUGAGACACGGCCCAGACUCCUACGGGAGGCAGCAGUGGGGAAUUUUGGACAAUGGGCGCAAGCCUGAUCCAGCCAUGCCGCGUGUCUGAAGAAGGCCUUCGGGUUGUAAAGGACUUUUGUCAGGGAGGAAAUCCUAGUGGCUAAUAACUGCUGGGGAUGACAGUACCUGAAGAGUAAGCACCGGCUAACUACGUGCCAGCCGCCGCCGUAAAAC